GACGAAACACAGGUGCCAACUACUGUGGCUUUCUGCAGUGUGCAGACCGGCAAGGAGGGCAGGGUUGAGGAGUGGGUGGAAGAUGAUGUGGAGGAUGAUGAGGUCCUAGACCCCACAUGGAAUGAAGGUCAUGCAAGUGACGUGUGCAGUUUGGAGGAAGAGGCAGUGGUCGCACAGAGGCACCAGCACAGCAUAAGAGGGAGCAGGGUGCAAAAGCGGAG